UACGUAGGGGGCUAGCGUUGUCCGGAAUCAUUGGGCGUAAAGAGCGCGUAGGCGGCCAGAUAAGUCCGGUGUGAAAGUCACAGGCUCAACCUGUGAAUGCCGCUGGAAACUGUCUGGCUUGAGUCCGGGAGGGGCGAGUGGAAUUCCUGGUGUAGCGGUGAAAUGCGCAGAUAUCAGGAAGAACACCAAUGGCGAAAGCAGCUUUCUGGGACGGUACUGACGCUGAGACGCGAAAGCGUGGGGGAGCGAACAGG
rnacentral:rRNA from 1 species